GACCGCACGGGAUAUUCUAUUAUCCUGUGCGGUCAAAUUAAGUGGCCUGCACGGGAUAAUAGGUUACCCCUACGGUU
rnacentral:pre_miRNA from 13 species